rnacentral:tRNA from 1 species
UGGUUUAUGGAUAAGGCGUCGCUCUCCUAAAGCGAAGACUGCAGGUUCGAGUCCUGC